rnacentral:rRNA from 1 species
UUGACCUCGGAUCAGGUAGGAAUACCCGCUGAACUUAAGCAUAUCAAUAAGCGGAGGAAAAGAAACCAACAGGGAUUGCCCUAGUAACGGCGAGUGAAGCGGCAACAGCUCAAAUUUGAAAUCUGGCCCCAGGCCCGAGUUGUAAUUUGCAGAGGAUGCUUCGGGCAAGGCGCCUUCCAAGUCCCCUGGAACGGGGCGCCAGAGAGGGUGAGAGCCCCGUACUGUCGGACGCCGCGCCUGUGUGAAGCUCCUUCGACGAGUCGAGUAGUUUGGGAAUGCUGCUCAAAAUGGGAGGUAGACCCCUUCUAAAGCUAAAUACCGGCCAGAGACCGAUAGCGCACAAGUAGAGUGAUCGAAAGAUGAAAAGCACUUUGAAAAGAGGGUUAAACAGCACGUGAAAUUGUUGAAAGGGAAGCGCUUGUGACCAGACUUGCGCCGUCGUGAUCAUCUGGUGUUCUCGCCAGUGCACUCGCCUCGGCUCAGGCCAGCGUCGGUUCGCGUGGGGGGAUAAAGGCGCUGGGAACGUGGCUCCCCCGGGAGUGUUAUAGCCCAGCGCGUCAUGCCCCCGCGUGGACCGAGGUUCGCGCUCUGCAAGGACGCUGGCAUAAUGGUUACUAGCGACCCGUCUUGAAACACGGACCAAGGAGUCGAGGUUUUGCGCGAGUGUUUGGGUGCAAAACCCGCACGCGUAAUGAAAGUGAACGCAGGUGGGAGCUUCGGCGCACCACCGACCGAUCCAGAUGUUCUCGGAUGGAUUUGAGUAGGAGCGUAGGGCCUCGGACCCGAAAGGUGAGCACAGUGCCCUGUAGUGCCCUGUAUUGGAACCCCGCUAACGGACGCAGAUGGUGAACUAUGCUUGGAUAGGGUGAAGUCAGAGGAAACUCUGAUGGAGGCUCGCAGCGGUUCUGACGUGCAAAUCGAUCGUCAAAUCUGAGCAUGGGGGCGAAAGACUAAUCGAACCAUCUAGUAGCUGGUUACCGCCGAAGUUUCCCUCAGGAUAGCAGUGUUGUCUUCAGUUUUAUGAGGUAAAGCGAAUGAUUAGGGACUCGGGGGCGCCAUAUUGCCUUCAUCCAUUCUCAAACUUUAAAUAUGUAAGAAGCCCUUGUUACUUAACUGAACGUGGGCACUCGAAUGUAUCAACACUAGUGGGCCAUUUUUGGUAAGCAGAACUGGCGAUGUGGGAUGAACCAUACGCGGGGUUAAGGUGCCGGAGUGGACGCUCAUCAGACACCACAAAAGGCGUUAGCACAUCUUGACAGCAGGUAAGCGCGAGCGCACUGAGAGCCCGCUGUAACGAUGCUAACUCCUCCCAGGACGGUGGCCAUGGAAGUCGGAAUCCGCUAAGGACUGUGUAACAACUCACCUGCCGAAUGUGCUAGCCCUGAAAAUGGAUGGCGCUCAAGCGUCCCACCCAUACCUCGCCCUCGGGGUAGAAACGAUGCCCCGAGGAGUAGGCGGCCGCGGGGGUCAGUGACGAAGCCUAGGGCGUGAGCCCGGGUCGAACGUCCCCUGGUGCAGAUCUUGGUGGUAAGUGCUGCCGCAGCGCCCCGGCUAGGCCUAACUAACAGCUCUAUAGGUAGUAGCAAAUACUUCAAUGAGAACUUGAAGGACCGAAGUGGGGAAAGGUUCCAUAUGAACAGCGGUUGGAUGUGGGUUAGUCGAUCCUAAGCCAUAGGGAAGUUCCGUUUCAAAGGGGCACUCGUGCCCCGUGUGGCGAAAGGGAAGCCGGUUAAUAUCCCGGCACCUGGAUGUGGGUUUUUCGCGGCAACGCAAACGAACGCGGAGACGGCGGCGGGAGCCCCGGGCAGAGUUCUCUUUUCUUCUUAACGGCUCGUCACCCUGGAAACAGUUUGUCUGGAGAUAGGGUUUAAUGGCUGGAAGAGCCCGGCACUUCUGCCGGGUCCGGUGCGCUCCCGACGUCCCUUGAAAAUCCGCGGGAGGGAAUAAUU